AUACGGGGGGAGCAAGCGUUGUCCGGAAUUACUGGGCGUAAAGGGCGUGUAGGCGGCUUGAUAAGUUAGAUGUGAAAGCCUUCUGCUUAACGGAAGAAUUGCAUUUGAUACUGUCAGGCUUGAGUUCGAGAGAGGGUAGUGGAAUUCCCAGUGUAGCGGUGAAAUGCGUAGAUAUUGGGAAGAACACCAGUAGCGAAGGCGGCUACCUGGCUCGUAACUGACGCUGAUGCGCGAAAGCGUGGGGAGCAAACAGGAUUAGAAACCCCAGUAGUCC
rnacentral:rRNA from 1 species